CUUCUCCCAAGAUUCACCUUGUUCAUGAAAGGCUUAUGCAAACAUUGUUAUAAACAAGAAAAUUUGUUGCACUUUUAUAACUGUUUAAUGAGUCGUUCAUGCUACACUGUGUUGGAAGGUACUGCAGUGCAAAUAUAUUUUACAACUUGCACGCACUUUGACCUUGAAAUGUUAUAGAGCAUCUAAAAAUUGUCGAUUCUCAAGUAACUACACAUAGUACAAAGAUGAAAAAACACCUGUAAUUGCAUGUUGUGUUGCAUCUCCUACAUCACGUCCAACUUGCCAGCAUUGCAAAAGCCUUACAAAGGCAAGCUUUUGCCUUACUUGGGCUGUUAACGGUACACUAAGACAUUUCUUUAAUGCAGGAAAUGUUCCUAGUCUAUGGGCAACACCAGUGAUGACAUUACAUGAAGCAUGAUAGCCCAUAGACGCCAGCCAUUGGGCGCAUGCAUGUAACCCCUCCCAGAUUUUCUAGAAAACGGAGAAGCAGUGGUUGGUAAUUAGUGCAUCCCACCCGUCCUGUCACUACUACUUUAUUAUGCUUGAAUGUCUCUGUCAGACACCAGCAUCAAAGGGUUACCGUAAGUGUGCCACAGCGUGAAAAGAGGGGAAAAGAAAGAAGCAAUAAGCAGGGCAUUGCCAUCAGUGCCACCCCAGCUGUGAGAAAUGGGGAAAGUAAAACAUUGCUCUAAUUGUAUCUCCUUUCAUGCUAGGUCGCUUUAAGGAAUUUCAUUGGGAAACAUAUUUCUCGAAAGGCAUCACAUUCAUUUCAGCGUGUUGCUCAAUUUCAAGAAAAGGUGCUUCAUGCCUCCUUUAAAGACACUGUUUGUUUCUUAUGACUUGACUAUGGGAUGUUAAGUUUAUCACGUCAAAGCUGGCAGUGGUAGUAAUAAUUUUUACUCCUGUGUUAGCUUGGCAGCACAGCAGGACAAAAUUUUCUUUGAAAACAAGGGCUUGCCAUUUGCAGUCAUUGUGAUGAUAUUCAGGUUAUAUGGUCACAUGCCCUGUUCUCCUAGGUCCUCCUGCUGUAAGGCAGAUAGGAUAGGAAGUAAACCAGCCACUGUGGUUGUUCAAUUGUUGAGGGAAUAAUAUUUAGUACCCAUAUAUCUCUAUGAUCUAGCUUGGCUUUGUGGAGAAAGCACAUUGCAGUCAAGGCGUUUAUUCAGAGCAGUCACACAUGUUCACAACCAGUUCAUUCCAUAAUAUUCAGUGAAUAAGUAUAUCACAACAGUAUAUGCUGCUAAAUUAGGAUGACGGCUGGACCACAACAGUCACCAUGGGCGAAAUUGUUUUUGAUGUUCUAAAUAUUUACUUCUCAUUAAUGUUCUGCAAAGAGUCGAACGAUAGCUAUUAGAAGCUAAGUGAUAUUUGUCAUUGGGUUAUAAUGCUUUUGAACAGACAAAUGAGGUUUGAAAGGGUAAUUUUACAAAUCUGCAAGGGCAUUUUAAGCCACAAGGAUGAAGAUUAGAUAAUGCUAUGUGGUGUCCAUCAUUUCUAUAUUGACUUAAUCACCAGUGAUGGAAAAUGCAGACACUUUCACAAGGUUUCCCUCUAGUAAUCUUGGUACAAAGCUCUAUGAUGGACAGUGAGUGAUGUGCGUACAACGUCAUGAAAGAAAGUAUGGAAAAGCAAAGCAGCUCUAAUACCCACCCUGAUAUUGUGUAAAGUCACUCAUGUUAUGUAUAUGUCCUGUGAAUAUCUCACACUGCGAGAUAUUUUAUUGCUGUCAAAUCAUGUGUUUAUACCCGCUGCCGUUGUUUGCUGCCACGGCUUCAGUUCUCGUAGUGCCUGCAGUAAUUCGUCACGUAAUUCAUCACGAUCAAUCAAGCCAACAUGUGACAUGUGGCCACUGUGCAGUAUUGGUAGUAUUGAUGAUGUGAUUAGUGAUUAAUGUCUAGUUUCCAAGUGUUCAGGCUACGGUAGCUACAUUGGCUCAUUGUGUGUCGAUGAAUUGUAGCAUUUCAUUAUAUCUGAGAUGACCAGAUGUUCAAUUUUCCGCCUGCUGCGGUAGCCGAGUGGCUAUGGAAUUGCACUGCUGAAAUUGAGGUCGCGGGUUCGAUACCGGCCGCAGCGGCUGUAUUUCGGUGGCGGCGAAAUGCAAAGACGCCGUGUAACUUAACGUUAAAGAAUCCCAGGUGGUGAAAAUUCAUCCAGCCUCUCCAUCUGCAGCAUUCCUCGUAAUGAGAUUGUGGUUUUGGCAUGUAAAACCGCCGAGAUUUAUUUCAUAUUACUCUUUUUAGGACAGUCAUCCAUGCUUUUACAUUUAUAUCGAGGAGCCCUCAGGUAUUGUCAUGGAAACCUUGCAAUGUGUUUUUUUUUUUUUUUUUCCGUCUUAUACACCAACUUUGCAUACAUUUAACACAGUUACAGAGCAAUUCCAUGCAAAAAGUUUGUCAGCAUUAUUGGCAGCCAACUGUAAAGCCUCUGUAUGUACAUUUAGUUGUUCUACAUUGCCAUGUGUUUUUACAUAUAAAACAACAAUUUUAGUUGUCAUGGCUCCCUUUGUAGUCCAUCACCACUUUAGUUCUGAUGCAUAAUUUGCGUUGGCUCAUCACGAUCAUCUCAUUCAGAGGGUCAGAUUGUGACCACUAAAGUGCAUAUGAGCCAUGUGGUGCAGCUGCAUAAAUAAAAAUGCAAGAACAGAUGGGCAAGCCUACCGAAGCGGACAUAUUGUGUUGUUGCUCAAAAUAUUCAAGAAAUUCAGCAGAAAGUGAAAGUGCUACUAUUAUACGUUUGGCCUUCACGUGGAGCUUCACAGUGAUAAGAAACACAUUGCUGUGAAUCGGCGUUUGAAGGCUUCGAAUUGCCCUGAACCUACACUGUGCUUCAACAGAGAGAGAUGCACGUUAUUGUUUCUGGAACCUUGAUUGUGCCAAGAACUGUGCCAGGUUGCUUUUCCAAAGAAAUUAAUGAUGUGUGCAGCUGUUUUGCGCGGAUCAUUUUCUCCUUUUUUCUCGAGGUCUUGCUUCACUUUGCAGGUCAUAUGUAAUUGGGCAGCCUGUACAUGCAGAAAGAUGGUACAUGCAUAUGACACUGACAAGAGAGUGCUGUACUCAUCUUGGUUCCCGUUACUACUUUUUUCCACGCUGCCAAGGUUGUGCUGCCCGUGGUUGCAGUGGCGCAUAGCUGCCAGCUUUGCUUAAGCUGACAUUUGUGUGGAUUGAGCGAGUGUUCAGUCAUGUGCUUGUUCUACGAUAGUCUGCUGUAUUGAUGUACCACAUCCUCCGUGAUGCUGCAAAACUCAGCACAUUGUGAUACAGAACCUUUCAUGUUAGUGACAGAAGCCCCAUAGAAUCUGCAAGUGGAACCAGAAGUAAACGGAGCCUCAAUUCAAAAUUUGAGUGUGCUGAUGCAUGUUACAGCAAAAUUUAAGAGAUCACUCGUGCUCACACACAAGUGUGUUGGUGCGGAAGUUGUGCAUGAAUACAGAAUUCCUGCUUAGAAAUCUUCACUUACCCUAGGCACUUACCCUAGGCCGUUAAUAAAAUCAUUUGUAAUAAAUUUGUAACAUUUUAGUCACAAUUUAGUGACUGUUUAAAGUAGAUUGCCUAUAUACAACCUAUAAUUUCCAACAAAUAUUUUGCAUAGUUCACCUGCAGAACAAUUUAAGCAUCAUUUUUACAAUUCCGUAAGUUCACAACAAAGAGAGGUAUUAAACUUAACAUAAUCUGUUAAGAGGGUCUAAAAUAAAUUGUUAUACCACACAGGACAUAUAACGUGCUGCUAGUUUGUGAGUAUGACUGGCAGUGACAUAGAAGAGUACAUGUGUCUGCUUUAAAUACCCCAUCAGUAUCAGUUUGCGGAAUUGCAAUAUUGUUUCAUCUCUAGAGUUACAGGGCCAUAGGCAUGGUGCUUCAAUGUUUUCUUUUUUCUAAUUUGCUUUACUUAUUUUACAAAAUAUUUGAUGGUCCAAAUAAAGGAUCUGCCUCUACCGGUCACUAGAAUUUGACUUCCUUCUUUAAAUGCAAAAAAUCUGUCAGAAACGUUUAGCAGUAGCCAGAGAAGACCCACCUUUGCAUUUGAAAUGUGUCUGACUGGGCAAGGUAUGAGCAGAGUUUUUCUCCGAGAAGAUGGGAAGUACCACCUCAGUGCAUUCUACAUUGUAACAUGCCCCGUCUAUAUCUGGCUCCACUUCAGUUUGCACAGCAGUUUUUUGUGUGUGAUGAUUCCAUUCCUCAUAUCACUGCAGGAUUGCAAUGUGAAAAAAAAAAAAAGUUGUGUCACAGUGAACAGUUCCGGAUGCAGUGUUCAGUGUUUAAGGAAUAUUACGCAACAAUUUUGUAAUGCAGCACUCACAAAAGGACCUCUCCCAAUUGAGCAGAAGCACAAGUGUUUUUUACUUGUGUUAUCGCGCACUUUUAUGGCUUUGGGUGGACCUUCCAUGGCAUUGUUGUAGACACGUGUAUUUGAUGUACAAACCACACCAGUGUACAGCCAAUAAACAUUUUGCACCUGUA
rnacentral:lncRNA from 1 species